rnacentral:pre_miRNA from 1 species
UAGGCUGAUCAAUCAUCCUAGUUUGCCCAAGACUGUCCAGAUUUUGGCACUGAAAGUCCACAUCCCAGAAACCAUGGUCCUGGGCAAACUGGGAAGGUUGGUCACCCUAGUGCUAG